rnacentral:rRNA from 1 species
AGAGUUUGAUCCUGGCUUAGGAUGAACGCUGGCGGCGUGCUUAACACAUGCAAGUCGAACGGAGUUUUAAGCGGAAGUUUUCGGAUGGAAGUUUAAGAACUUAGUGGCGGACGGGUGAGUAACGCGUGGGUAACCUGCCUCAUACAGGGGGAUAACAGUUAGAAAUGACUGCUAAGACCGCAUAAUAUAGCGAAACCGCAUGAUUUUUGCUAUCAAAUAUUUAUAGGUAUGAGAUGGGCCCGCGUCUGAUUAGCUAGUUGGUGGGGUAAAGCCUACCAAGGCGACGAUCAGUAGCCGGCUUGAGAGAGUGACCGGCCACAUUGGGACUGAGACACGGCCCAAACUCCUACGGGAGGCAGCAGUGGGGAAUAUUGGACAAUGGGGGAAACCCUGAUCCAGCGAACCGCCGCGUGAGUGAAGAAGUAUUUCGGUAUGUAAAGCUCUAUCAGCAGGGAAGAUAAUGACAGUACCUGACUAAGAAGCCCCGGCUAACUACGUGCCAGCCGCAGC